UCCACCGGAAAAAGAAGAGUGGCGAACGGGUGAGUAACACGUGGGUAACCUGCCCAUCAGAAGGGGAUAACACUUGGAAACAGGUGCUAAUACCGUAUAACAAUCGAAACCGCAUGGUUUUGAUUUGAAAGGCGCUUUCGGGUGUCGCUGAUGGAUGGACCCGCGGUGCAUUAGCUAGUUGGUGAGGUAACGGCUCACCAAGGCCACGAUGCAUAGCCGACCUGAGAGGGUGAUCGGCCACAUUGGGACUGAGACACGGCCCAAACUCCUACGGGAGGCAGCAGUAGGGAAUCUUCGGCAAUGGACGAAAGUCUGACCGAGCAACGCCGCGUGAGUGAAGAAGGUUUUCGGAUCGUAAAACUCUGUUGUUAGAGAAGAACAAGGAUGAGAGUAACUGUUCAUCCCUUGACGGUAUCUAACCAGAAAGCCACGGCUAACUACGUGCCAGCAGCCGCGGUAAUACGUAGGUGGCAAGCGUUGUCCGGAUUUAUUGGGCGUAAAGCGAGCGCAGGCGGUUUCUUAAGUCUGAUGUGAAAGCCCCCGGCUCAACCGGGGAGGGUCAUUGGAAACUGGGAGACUUGAGUGCAGAAGAGGAGAGUGGAAUUCCAUGUGUAGCGGUGAAAUGCGUAGAUAUAUGGAGGAACACCAGUGGCGAAGGCGGCUCUCUGGUCUGUAACUGACGCUGAGGCUCGAAAGCGUGGGGAGCAAACAGGAUUAGAUACCCUGGUAGUCCACGCCGUAAACGAUGAGUGCUAAGUGUUGGAGGGUUUCCGCCCUUCAGUGCUGCAGCUAACGCAUUAAGCACUCCGCCUGGGGAGUACGACCGCAAGGUUGAAACUCAAAGGAAUUGACGGGGGCCCGCACAAGCGGUGGAGCAUGUGGUUUAAUUCGAAGCAACGCGAAGAACCUUACCAGGUCUUGACAUCCUUUGACCACUCUAGAGAUAGAGCUUCCCCUUCGGGGGCAAAGUGACAGGUGGUGCAUGGUUGUCGUCAGCUCGUGUCGUGAGAUGUUGGGUUAAGUCCCGCAACGAGCGCAACCCUUAUUGUUAGUUGCCAUCAUUCAGUUGGGCACUCUAGCAAGACUGCCGGUGACAAACCGGAGGAAGGUGGGGAUGACGUCAAAUCAUCAUGCCCCUUAUGACCUGGGCUACACACGUGCUACAAUGGGAAGUACAACGAGUCGCGAAGUCGCGAGGCUAAGCUAAUCUCUUAAAGCUUCUCUCAGUUCGGAUUGUAGGCUGCAACUCGCCUACAUGAAGCCGGAAUCGCUAGUAAUCGCGGAUCAGCACGCCGCGGUGAAUACGUUCCCGGGCCUUGUACACACCGCCCGUCACACCACGAGAGUUUGUAACACCCGAAGUCGGUGAGGUAACCUUUUGGAGCCAGCCGCCUAAGG
rnacentral:rRNA from 1 species